GCGCCUCUUUCCUAACUACCCUCACGAUUCUAGCCCUGGCCCGCGCUUCCUCUCGCAUAUCCGAGCUUGACCAAAUCUUCCACGUUCCCACGUUUCCACGACAGUUGCCACAGAUCCCGGCGGCGUCGCGCAGGUUCGGCAUCCCUCUCCGUCUCCCUUCCCUUCCCCGCCCUCCUCCCUCCCUGGCCUGCCUCCUCCCUGUCCCCGCCCUUCUCCCACCUGGCCGCCCCCCUCCCUGGGAGGGUGAACGGCGGCGGCAGCGGCAGCGGCGGCGGACCGAGUGUUCUUAGCCACGUUUUUCUCCAUCGAACCCUCCCGUGUCCUGCCGAUGUCUCCUGCCGGAGCUGCUUCUGCCGUGCAAAUGCAGAUGCCGAUCACCAAAAUCAAAGUGGACCUGGACUGCAGCCCCUUUCACAACAAGAACGAGAAGCUGCUCGGCAGGAUCAGAGAGAAGGGCGAGUUCGUGAUUGACGAGAUCGAGUAUGAUGAGAAGAAAAACAAGGUGAUUGUUACGGGCUUUUCGACGCUGAUAGGCUCGCCAGCAUUGCAAGGUCAUCAAGGGUUUGUCAUCAAGGAGAUCGAGAUCGUCGAGCCGCCGCCCCUGGCGUCGGAGCCACCCAACGAGGAUCCCACGCUGCCGGAGUCUGUCGUUGAGGAGCCGUCGCCGCCAGAAGUCGUGGAGCCGGAGCCCAUGCGCGAGAGACGGAGCCACCAAAGGAGGAGGAGCCCGCGCCCGUCACCGGAGCCGGAGCUGCCCGGUGGCGACAUGCCGCUUGACGUCUCCACUUUGGACACAGCAGCUGCGAGGCGUAUUGCGUGAAGGAGGGGCACCGGCGGCGCGAGACGAGACAAGAACUAUGCGCAGCAGGAUUGUAGUGCGGGUUCAGCUCGGUUGUGGAGAAGGAGGUGAUUGUGGAGGAGGGUAGCUGUGGAAGACAUGGGUGUACACCAUGUCACCAUCACCUUCUGCUUGCUCAUCGCUCUGCUGCUACGGCUUAACAUGUUCUGGAGCUCCAUUACAUCCGCCAGUCCGCCCUUGCUCUUGCUCUUGAAAUAUGCCUGCUGCUCCCUCCCUCGAGAAGUUUAACUAUCUGGCUGAUUGUGGAGGCGAAUCAGGCAUCAGCAUCCUGUUACACAAUGUAUCAACCCAACAACCUGCACACAAAAAAGCUAUUGUUCAUUUUCUCAGGUUGAUGUACAGAUCUUUAGUAAAAACGACAAUAUGAAAUAGUAUGACUAACAUUAGUGCAUGUUUAUAUACAAUUGCCCACUGGAUGGUGAUUCACAGUAUGUCCAAAUCACUCUGUCCAUUAGUCAUUUGUAUCCGGGAACAAAUUGAUUCAGGUUGGUAAUCCCUGAUCCAAAUGGCUAUAUUUUUUUUGUAACACCUCAUAAACAACACCCUGUUUCCUCCCCAUAUGAAAUAUGUACCCUGCAUCGCCUGACAUGGCUGCUAAUUAACUGUGGUUGGUAAACCCUCGUAGUUUACUGAUGUAUAUUCACUCAUUGAUUGUUCCAGAAUUUAUUUGAUUUAAAACUACUGUUGUUUUCAGUUUACAUUUUGUGUUGAUGGAAAUAUCUGGUUGAAUUUAGUCUCUUCUUAACAUUAAAUCUGAAAUUACUAAAAAAUAGACAGUUUUGUUCUUAGAUUGUGUAUGAUUCCACUGCACAAUAGUUGGUUGCUAGGUCGUUUAAUUUAUGUCGAACUGCAGAAAAGAUGUUGCAUUCAUGUCAGAAUCAUUACUACUUCAGACCUUCGGAGGUUUGACAAGCCUGUCAGAUUAUCAAUGGAGCUAGAUAAUGAUCUUAGCAAGGAUAUCUAAUUUAUUAUGAUCCAAGUUUGGAGCACAAGACUAGAGAAAAAGGAUUUCGUACAAAAGGUAUUCAAAGUUAUUCAGGAAGAAGUGUUUGAAGAAGAAUUGCACCUUCUAAACGAUGAAUGGCAAUCAGUAGAUUCUUAUAUUGAAUUGUAGUUUGCCAUACUCAAAAGGUGUGCAUCUGUUUGAUAGCAGCAUCAGAAUUGAACCCUGUACAUGCUUCAUCAUGUUUUUUUACCAAUGGUGGACACCAUAAUAUAUAGAUGUAGUCGUAGCCAUGUUUAUUCCGUUUUGACAUAAAUUCAGUUCUGAAUUGGUACAUACUUUCUCCGACCCAUAAUAA